rnacentral:lncRNA from 1 species
GAAUGUUUUGAUUCGUCUGAUAUAUAGGAGUUAUUUGAAGCCUUAAUAUAUAUCUAACCUACUGAUAAAACUAUAAAAUAACCAUGAUGUACUAUGCAUGAUGUUGGUAUAUGGCUCUAAUAUUGGUUUGGAUUUUUUGGGGUAUUACAAUAUCUCCCUCCUGGAAACAUUCAUCCUCGAAUGAUGACUGCUUGAGAGGGGAGAAAAGAUAAACGACACAUACACUGAUCAUGCUCAACUGGC